AGCAGACGACAAUAAAUGCUUUUCAAUUAAUCCGUCAACAGGACAAUGGAAGACUGAGAGAUGCGAUGUGAAAUUAAGCUUUAUAUGCGAAGUAAAUUUAGGACUUUGUGAUUUUGACCGAUACUAUCCAAGAACCGGUUGUAGUGGAUCUUUGAAACAAACGGGAGAGUACAGCCUUUACGAUUGUUUAAAUGCCUGUCGUAAUAUUCCAAUUCAAUCUGAAGGUGAGGAAUGCUGGGGUGUCGGGUUCUACCAGGGAUUUACCGG